UGGGGAAUAUUGCACAAUGGGGGAAACCCUGAUGCAGCGACGCCGCGUGAAGGAUGAAGUGUUUCGGCAUGUAAACUUCUAUCAGCAGGGAAGAAAAUGACGGUACCUGACUAAGAAGCCCCGGCUAACUACGUGCCAGCAGCCGCGGUAAUACGUAGGGGGCAAGCGUUAUCCGGAUUUACUGGGUGUAAAGGGAGCGUAGACGGUUGUGCAAGUCAGAUGUGAAAGUCCAGGGCUCAACCCUGGGACUGCAUUUGAAACUGUGCAACUAGAGUGUCGGAGAGGUAAGUGGAAUUCCUAGUGUAGCGGUGAAAUGCGUAGAUAUUAGGAGGAACACCAGUGGCGAAGGCGACUUACUGGACGAUAACUGACGUUGAGGCUCGAAAGCGUGGGGAGCAAACAGG
rnacentral:rRNA from 2 species